GCGAGAGUGGCGGAAUUGGCAGACGCGCUGGACUUAGGAUCCAGUGGGGCAACCUGUAGGGGUUCAACUCCCCUCUCUCGCACCA
rnacentral:tRNA from 1 species